UUGUAUAAUAACUUUAUGUAUGUUUAUUAUUAUUGAAUUGAAAACGAAUCUUGUACGAAUAACUCUAUGCUAACAAUUACGGUAAGACAGAAUGCAAGCAUUAUUUGAAACGAUUAGGAAUAAAGUGUUUGUAGGAGGCUUUUUAAUAUGUUGGUCGCCAAAUCCUAGGGGCCUAAUUAACCUUGGAUAGAUGGUGGAAACCAUCAAGUUGGAGUAUAGUAAGGGUAAACAAAAUUUCAACUAGAACAGUGAAAUACGUAAUGAUAAAAAAGAACACCAACAACAAAAGGACUACACUGGGACACCCACAUUGAGAGAUGAAAUUUAGUGGAGUGAGAAUUAGAUACCUAUUAGUCAUAGCCGUAAAUGAUGAACAUUAGGUGUUAUGCAUAUCCAUUUCUGUGCAAUGUAAUAGCUAAUACAUUAAGUAUCCCACCUAGGGAUUAUGUUCAUAAUAAUGAAACUUAAAGGAAUUGACCAAGAGGAGCCGCACAGGCAAUGAAGUAUGUACGUAUGUGCUUUAAAUAGAUGCAAAACAAUGAACCUUGCUAGAGCUUGACAUGUUGUGAAUCCACUCAAAAGAAAAUGGUGUCUUUGGGAAUGUGAACAAGGUAGUGUAUGUCUGUCGACAGAUUGCGUAAUAAGGUGUUGGGUUAAGCCUUUCAACGAGUGCAACUCCCAUAUAUAGUUGCCAACUUUGAGUUUGGAGCCCUGAGUAAACUAUCAAAGAUAAGCAGGAGGAUGGUGAGGAUGAUAUCAAGUUAUGAUUCUUCUUUUGCCUUAGAUGACACACGUGCUAUAAUAGCAUGACAAAGGAUUGAUCCCCUAAAGGUCAGCUAACUCCAAAAACACUUGUUUUUUAGGAGUAUUUUAGCAGGUUGUAAUUAUAAUUAUCUUAAAAUACAAUUGAGGUAUAACUUGCGAAUUAAAUUCGCUAACAUACAUUCACUUUUUUUUAUACACACCUACUUUUUUU
rfam:Glycine soja cultivar W05 scaffold1207_2, whole genome shotgun sequence.